rfam:Felis catus isolate Cinnamon breed Abyssinian chromosome E3, whole genome shotgun sequence.
GUCUGGGUGGCUCAGUUGGUAGAGCGUCUGGCUUCGGCUCAGGUCCUGAUCUCACGGUUCGUGGGUUCGAGCCCCGCGUCGGGCU